CGUCUCUCUCUCUGUCUCUCUCUGUGUCUCUUUCUCGCUGUUUCAAGGCUGUAGGCCAUGCAGAAACGCUCUUCUGUUCUCACUCAUGUUUUCUGCGCUCGCUGAUGUCUCUGCUCUCAUUGUGAGGUUGUGUGUGUGUGUGUGUGUGUGUGUGUGUGGAUGUCUCUCUCUCUCUCUCUCUCUCUCUCUCUCUCUCUCUGUAGUUCGAGGUUGUCAUUCAGCCCUGACCUCACUGACCUUUCAAAUAAAGAGUCAGAGAAUCAAUCUACAGUCUGUUUCUUCUGCACUAGAUUAUUUGGGAGAUUGAGUUUUUGUAGUGCUAUGAUUAUGGAUUGAUGAUGUUACAGCUCAGCCUCUCUGUUGCUUUGUUCCAAGCCCUACAUAGAGAGCACGCUUCUAAGGGAACGUCCUGAAUGAAGUGAAAAUUAAAUUAACUUCCUAACUGAUUUGGACCUAGCACACAAAUAAUGGGGACUUGUGCCAUGCUGUGUUGGGUGGCACCCAUGUGCCCUCGUCUGCUGACUCCUACACUUCCAUUUAUUUCAGAGAGGACUCUUUUCCUCCCGAGUGCUGAAGCUAAAGCUCUUCACACAGAGAAAGAAAGAGUGUGUGUGUGUGGCAGUAAUUUAUCUUAAGCCUGUGUGUAUAUAAUGCAUUAUAAUAUAAAUGCAUUAUUUUAUAAUGCCCUAUUAUACACUUUAUAAUCACACUUGUGUUUUCUUUAAACCUAUUUUUAGCUACAACUUUAUGUUAUGAUUCAGUAUAAAUACCAUUUUAAAAGUGGUGUUUCAUUAUAGUGCAUUAUACCCUUUAGUAUUAUAACAGUGAAUAUUUAAGUAUUAUAAUGCAUUAUAAGUGUUAUAACUUGUACCUAUUUGUGGUUAUGCCUUUGUAUAGUAUAAUGCUUUAUACCAUCAUAAAU
ensembl:lncRNA